rnacentral:lncRNA from 1 species
CAAUUUUUUAUCAUUUUAUUUCACUGGGGUCCCACGCGAGUCCCACGUGAAUGUGAGAAUAUGUCAAAAAGGUAGUAAAUCAUUUUUCUAUACAAAUGGUAUUUUCCCUAGAACAAUUCAACACACACCGCUAAUUUGUAGUGUAGACUGAGUCGAACCUCGUAAGCUAUGGAACUUAACUAGUAAUGUGAUAUGUUUAUGUCCAUUUUCCAGUCAUAAUUUUAGUUUCUCGUGUUUGGCCAAAUCAACUUGACCAUAUGGCUUUUGAUUAAAUAUGUUAUCUUCGUGAUUAUCAGUCCCCUGCAUAAAUGAGGCGAGUUACAAUUCCCUGACACAUAAUUCUUCAAUUUUUCGACCUGCUAUGCAACAACAUACAUCAGAUUUGGGAGUUUGAAAGAUCGUUUGGCGACUGCGAAUCCCAACAAGUCACU